rnacentral:rRNA from 1 species
CGGAGGGUGCAAGCGUUGCUCGGAAUUAUUGGGCGUAAAGGGUAGGUAGGUUGUCUCAUUUGUCUGGGGUGAAAGCCUUGAGCUUAACUCAAGAAGUGCCCCAGAAACGGUGAGACUGGAGUCCUGGAGAGGGUCGUGGAAUUCCCGGUGUAGCGGUGAAAUGCGUAGAGAUCGGGAGGAACACCAGAGGCGAAGGCGGCGACCUGGACAGGCACUGACACUCAACUACGAAAGCGUGGGGAGCAAACAGGAUUAGAUACCCUGGUAGUCCACGCUGUAAACGAUGGGUACUAGAUUUGGUGGGUCUUGACCCCUGCCGAAUCGGCGCUAACGCAAUAAGUACCCCGCCUGGGAAGUACGGUCGCAAGACUA